UACGUAGGGAGCAAGCGUUGUCCGGAUUUAUUGGGUUUAAAGGGAGCGUAGGCGGACGCUUAAGUCAGUUGUGAAAGUUUGCGGCUCAACCGUAAAAUUGCAGUUGAUACUGGGUGUCUUGAGUACAGUAGAGGCAGGCGGAAUUCCCCGUGUAGCGGUGAAAUGCGUAGAGAUGGGGAGGAACACCAGUGGCGAAGGCGGACUACUGGGCACCAACUGACGCUGAGGCUCGAAAGUGUGGGUAGCAAACAGG
rnacentral:rRNA from 1 species